rnacentral:rRNA from 1 species
ACUCCUGCGGGAGGCAGCAGUGGGGAAUAUUGGACAAUGGGCGCAAGCCUGAUCCAGCCAUGCCGCGUGAGUGAUGAAGGCCCUAGGGUUGUAAAGCUCUUUCACCGGUGAAGAUAAUGACGGUAACCGGAGAAGAAGCCCCGGCUAACUUCGUGCCAGCAGCCGCGGUAAUACGAAGGGGGCUCGCGUUGUUCGGAUUUACUGGGCGUAAAGCGCACGUAGGCGGACUAUUAAGUCAGGGGUGAAAUCCCGGGGCUCAACCCCGGAACUGCCUUUGAUACUGGUAGUCUUGAGUGCGAGAGAGGUGAGUGGAAUUCCGAGUGUAGAGGUGAAAUUCGUAGAUAUUCGGAGGAACACCAGUGGCGAAGGCGGCUCACUGGCUCGAUACUGACGCUGAGGUGCGAAAGCGUGGGGAGCAAACAGGAUUAGAUACCCCGGUAGUCCCA